ACGCUAUUGUGGUUCAACUGAUUUGAAGAGCUUGCUCAGAUAUGACGAUGGACAUUGCAAAGAGUGGCGAACGGGUGAGUAACACGUGGGAAACCUACCUCUUAGCAGGGGAUAACAUUUGGAAACAGAUGCUAAUACCGUAUAACAAUGACAACCGCAUGGUUGUUAUUUAAAAGAUGGUUCUGCUAUCACUAAGAGAUGGUCCCGCGGUGCAUUAGCUAGUUGGUAAGGUAAUGGCUUACCAAGGCGAUGAUGCAUAGCCGAGUUGAGAGACUGAUCGGCCACAAUGGGACUGAGACACGGCCCAUACUCCUACGGGAGGCAGCAGUAGGGAAUCUUCCACAAUGGGCGAAAGCCUGAUGGAGCAACGCCGCGUGUGUGAUGAAGGGUUUCGGCUCGUAAAACACUGUUGUAAGAGAAGAAUGACAUUGAGAGUAACUGUUCAAUGUGUGACGGUAUCUUACCAGAAAGGAACGGCUAAAUACGUGCCAGCAGCCGCGGUAAUACGUAUGUUCCAAGCGUUAUCCGGAUUUAUUGGGCGUAAAGCGAGCGCAGACGGUUAUUUAAGUCUGAAGUGAAAGCCCUCAGCUCAACUGAGGAAUUGCUUUGGAAACUGGAUGACUUGAGUGCAGUAGAGGAAAGUGGAACUCCAUGUGUAGCGGUGAAAUGCGUAGAUAUAUGGAAGAACACCAGUGGCGAAGGCGGCUUUCUGGACUGUAACUGACGUUGAGGCUCGAAAGUGUGGGUAGCAAACAGGAUUAGAUACCCUGGUAGUCCACACCGUAAACGAUGAGUGCUAGGUGUUUGAGGGUUUCCGCCCUUAAGUGCCGCAGCUAACGCAUUAAGCACUCCGCCUGGGGAGUACGACCG
rnacentral:rRNA from 1 species